AGAGUUUGAUCCUGGCUCAGGACGAACGCUGGCGGCGUGCCUAAUACAUGCAAGUCGAACGAAGCUUUCUUUCACCGAAUGCUUGCAUUCACCGAAAGAAGCUUAGUGGCGAACGGGUGAGUAACACGUAGGCAACCUGCCCAAAAGAGGGGGAUAACACUUGGAAACAUGUGCUAAUACCGCAUAACCAUGAACACCGCAUGAUGUUCGUGUAAAAGACGGCUUUUGCCGUCACUUUUGGAUGGGCCUGCGGCGUAUUAACUUGUUGGUGGGGUAACGGCCUACCAAGGUGAUGAUACGUAGCCGAACUGAGAGGUUGAUCGGCCACAUUGGGACUGAGACACGGCCCAAACUCCUACGGGAGGCAGCAGUAGGGAAUCUUCCACAAUGGACGAAAGUCUGAUGGAGCAACGCCGCGUGAAUGAAGAAGGCCUUCGGGUCGUAAAAUUCUGUUGUCAGAGAAGAAUGUGCGUGAGAGUAACUGUUCACGUAUUGACGGUAUCUGACCAGAAAGCCACGGCUAACUACGUGCCAGCAGCCGCGGUAAUACGUAGGUGGCAAGCGUUGUCCGGAUUUAUUGGGCGUAAAGGGAACGCAGGCGGUCUUUUAAGUCUGAUGUGAAAGCCUUCGGCUUAACCGAAGUAGUGCAUUGGAAACUGGAAGACUUGAGUGCAGAAGAGGAGAGUGGAACUCCAUGUGUAGCGGUGAAAUGCGUAGAUAUAUGGAAGAACACCAGUGGCGAAAGCGGCUCUCUGGUCUGUAACUGACGCUGAGGUUCGAAAGCGUGGGUAGCAAACAGGAUUAGAUACCCUGGUAGUCCACGCCGUAAACGAUGAGUGCUAAGUGUUGGAGGGUUUCCGCCCUUCAGUGCUGCAGCUAACGCAUUAAGCACUCCGCCUGGGGAGUACGGUCGCAAGACUGAAACUCAAAGGAAUUGACGGGGGCCCGCACAAGCGGUGGAGCAUGUGGUUUAAUUCGAAGCAACGCGAAGAACCUUACCAGGUCUUGACAUUUCUGACAAUUCCAGAGAUGGAACGUUCCCUUCGGGGACAGAAUGACAGGUGGUGCAUGGUUGUCGUCAGCUCGUGUCGUGAGAUGUUGGGUUAAGUCCCGCAACGAGCGCAACCCUUAUUGACAGUUGCCGUCAUUAAGUUGGGCACUCUGGCGAGACUGCCGGUGACAAACCGGAGGAAGGUGGGGAUGACGUCAAAUCAUCAUGCCCCUUAUGACCUGGGCUACACACGUGCUACAAUGGACGGUACAACGAGUCGCUAACUCGCGAGGGCAAGCUAAUCUCUUAAAGCCGUUCUCAGUUCGGAUUGCAGGCUGCAACUCGCCUGCAUGAAGUCGGAAUCGCUAGUAAUCGCGAAUCAGCAUGUCGCGGUGAAUACGUUCCCGGGCCUUGUACACACCGCCCGUCACACCAUGAGAGUUUGUAACACCCAAAGUCGGUGGGGUAACCUUUUGGAGCCAGCCGCCUAAGGUGGGACAGAUGAUUGGGGUGAAGUCGUAACAAGGUA
rnacentral:rRNA from 1 species